rnacentral:sRNA from 1 species
AAAAAAAGAAGAAGAAAAAGA